CAUCGCGAUGCUCCUUAUCUCAAGGAGACAUUGUGAUGAGGAUACUGUCGAAACGCGAACUGAAGGAGUUGGUCUUGUAUUCACCGCAACACGUCGCGCGAUUGGAGAAGGCGGGUCAGUUUCCCAAGCGGGUACAACUCGGUCCCAAUCGUGUUGGCUGGAUUGAGGAUGAGGUGCUGGACUGGCUGCGAAUUCGGGUAGAGUUGCGAAAGUAACCGCACAAACUCCGAACAGAGCGAUGGCGGCUCGGGUUGGCCAAAAUCCC
rnacentral:ncRNA from 1 species